rnacentral:lncRNA from 1 species
GUUAUGAAAUAAUAUAAAGACAAGAACAAUGAUGCAAGAACAAGAGCAAUAGAGAGAAUAGAGAGAGAGAAGUAUUCUUAUUGAUACUUAGAGAUUGUUAGGGAUCUAUUACAAUGGUAGAAGACCCCUUUAUUUAUAGGGAGUGGGAUGAUCUAGCUACCAAUAAUAGGACUCUAGAAUCUCUCUAAUUAAAGACAUUC